CAAUCACCGCCGCACCCUUUCUUCUCUCAUUCAUCCACAUCUUUGCCCCAAAGAUGGCAUCUCUUUUUCGGUGCAAAUGUUUGGUGUUAUUCACCGAUCUCACAUCACAAACGGGUCUGGCUAAUCAUUUUGGAGCAGACUAUAGCAUGUUGAUUGUUCAUGGCGUUUCAAUGGCUCAAUUGAGAAAGGCUGGUAUAUCUCAAACGUCUCGAUGAAACCUGCGGCUGGUGGUGUGUGAGGUCGUUAGGUACAUAAGUGCACAGAAACUUGCAGUCUAAGGAGCUUGAAGUGUCAUGUUGCGUGUUGUUUGAAGAGAACAUUUAAUAUUAUGAAUUUUAAAACAAAUGGUUUUGGUUGUUUUGAAACAUUUACUUUUGCUUCCGCUGAAUACAUACUUUUGUUUGAAACGUUUAUUUUGGAAUACACUAUUCAUGUUGGAUAUGA